GCCGGCCGCGUUACCGCCCCCUGCCCUGAGGCGCUGUGGCGGACACAGGCCUUAAAGGGGCCCGCACAGCCCGCCCCGCCUCAGGGGAUGCGGGGUGGAGGAGAGGAGAGGAGAGGAUCUGGCCUGGCCUGGCCUGGGAGCCACCUCGGGCGAUCGGGGUCAGAGGGUGAUGGGGGAUCCGCCCCGGGAUCAUCCUCAGCAGCACUGGGCUGUCUUUCCAGCUUUUCUUCAGAAUGUGAUGACUAUUCUUCCAGACACUGCGGAGUGGUCCUGGCUCCCUCCAGAGAUUAUUAAGGCUGCUUUCAAAUCAGCCAGAGAGAUUGAUGCGAAGUACUACAAGGUGCUCCCUCCCUAGGUUGAAGAUAUUGUCUCUUUACAGUGCUCCUAGCUUUUGCCAUGUCAGGAAUGAAGGACCAGCCCCAAACACGGAUCUCUAGAUGGUAAUCAAACUGUCAUCACUAAGUCAAAUGCUCCUGGCUCCCAGAUCAAUUUUUCUAUCAGGAAACAGCUCGGUUAUAUAUGAUUGGGCAGAUCUAUCAGAGAGAACACUUCCACUCAGCUUAGCUGUUUUACUUCAACAAUGCAUAUAACUGCAGUCACAAUUCAGAGAUGCAUCGAUUUUAAGGCCACCAGGGACCAUCAGAUCAUCUAGUCUAACCUUCUGUAUAAUACAGGCGAAGGAAUUUUAUGAUGACUAAAGCAUGUCUUCCAGAAAGGCCCAGUUCCAAUCUGAAGACUUCAACUGAUGGAGAAUCCACCACUUCCCUUGGCAGUUUGUUUCAAGAAUUUAUCACUCACACUGUUAAAAAUGUAUAACUUAGUUCUAAUUUGAAUUUGUCUGGCUUUAACUUCCAGCCCUUGGUUCUUGUAAUGACUUUCUCCAUGAGAUUGAAGAGCCUGGUAUAUUAAAGGAAUUAAUGCCUACUAUAUUCUCCCCAGGAAGGUAUUUAUAUACCAUAAUAAAGUCAUCUCUUGAUUUUUUUUAAAUCAACUAAAUAAAUUGAGCUUCUGAACUCUGUCACACUGAGAUAUAUUUACCAAACUUUGAAUAAUUCUUGUAGCUAUUUUCUGAACUUUCCAAUUUUCCAACAUCCUUUUUUAAAUUGCAGACACCAGAACUGUACACAGUAUUCCGGUAUUGGUCUCAUCAGUGUCGCAUACAGAGGCAGUCUUCUCCUUGCUGCUACUCACAACUCCCCCUUUAUACACUCAAUGAUUGAAUUAGACCUUUUGGCCACAGCACAGCACUGGGAGUUCAUUUGAAUUGUUUGUCCACUCUGACCCCUAAAUCCUUUUCACAGUCAUUGCUUUCGGAGAUACAGUUCCCCAUUCUCCGUGACCUGCAUUCUUAGUUCCUAAAUGUAUGAUAUUACAUUUGAAUGCAGACAAAUGUAUUUUUGUUUGACUCAGCCCAGCUUACCUAGUUAUCUAGAUCACUCAGUAUGACUGGCCUGGCCUCAUCAUUAUUUUCCACUCUCCCAAUCUUUGUAUCAUCACUACAUUUUAUCUGGAGUGAUUUUGUUUACUUCCAAAUCAUUGAUAAAAAUAUUGAAUCGUAUUGGGUAGAGAACCAAUGCCUGGGUAACCCCACUAACAACACCCUCAUUUGCGAUGAAUCCCCAACAACAAAUACUUUUGGAGAGCUAUAAGUAAACUAGUUCUUAAUCCAUUUAAUGUGUGCUCUAUUGAUAAUGUAUAGUGCUAAUUUUUAAUCAGAAUGUCAUGCAGUGCCAAGUCAAACACCUUACAAAAUAUAAGUAAAAUACAACUGUGUGGAUGUCAUAAUCAACCACACUUGUAAUCUUAACAAAAAAUGAAAUCAGGUUUGUUUGACAAGACCUAUUUUCCAUAAAAUCACUGUUCCCAUUGCACCCCAUAAUGCUUUAUUGAAAUAUGCUUAUGAAUGUAUAUAUGGGACAUAACUGAAAUAUGUUUUAUGCUACAUAUGCUGUGUAACAUAUCUCUUCAAAGGUUAUGAUCGACUGAAUAUAUUCAUGUAUUUGUAUGCAUGUAUCAUUUUUGUAUUCAAAGUUAUGAAUAUUGGCUGUGUACUUGUUUAAUUUUAAGUAGCCUUAGUAAAGCAUUUGGUCAGCUUCUUUAGAAAGGAAUUUUCAAGUUAAGUGCCCAGUCAAGAAACACUUAAGCUAACACUGAACUUGGAGACGCCAAUCCACAUCUGCACUUUCCCAGGAAUGUGGCCUGGCUGGUAAGGAACUCAGUCAUGCAUGGACAUGUGACUUGCCCAUGUGAUUCCAAAACUCCAUCUUGGAGUUGGAUUUUGCACAGGAGAAAGGAGAGGGUCUCCACCCACUAGAGAAAGCCCUCCAUUUUGUCUUCAGCUGGCUCAAGAGACAGUCUCUCCACCCCCAAAGGUUAUCUAAAAGAGAUGAAUAAAGGACAGUAACUACAGGGGGUGUGAGUGAUUGCUGGACCCAGAUUAGAAGGAGACUAGUCUGUAAAAGAAGCUUACUGGAACAUUUCUGAGGGUGAACUUUCUUACUGUAUUCGGCAUAGACUUGCCUGUUUUAUUUUAUUUUGUUUGGUAAUUCACUUUGCUCUGUCUGUUACUACUUGGAACCACUUAAAUUCUACUUUUUGUAUUUAAUAAAAUAACUUUUUACUUAUUAAUUAA